UACGGAGGAUGCGAGCGUUGUCCGGAUUUAUUGGGUUUAAAGGGUGCAUAGGCGGACUGUCAAGUCAGCGGUAAAAUUGAGAGGCUCAACCUCUUCCCGCCGUUGAAACUGGUGGUCUUGAGUGGAUGAGAAGUACGCGGAAUGCGUGGUGUAGCGGUGAAAUGCAUAGAUAUCACGCAGAACUCCGAUUGCGAAGGCAGCGUACCGGCAUCCAACUGACGCUGAGGCACGAAAGCGUGGGGAUCAAACAGG
rnacentral:rRNA from 1 species